rnacentral:rRNA from 1 species
AGAGUUUGAUCCUGGCUCAGAACGAACGCUGGCGGCGCGUCUAAAGCAUGCAAGUCGAGCGGCAAGGGCAGCAAUGCCCCUAGAGCGGCGGACUGGUGAGUAACGCGUGGGUGACCUACCCCCUGGUUGGGGAUAGCCCCUAGAAAUAGGGGGUAAUACCGAAUACGGUUGUCCGGUUAUGACCGGAUAAAGAAAGGAGCUCCGGCUCCGCCUGAGGAUGGGCCCGCGUUCCAUUAGCUAGUUGGUGAGGUAAAGGCCCACCAAGGCUCUGAUGGGUAGCCGGCCUGAGAGGGUGACCGGCCACACUGGGACUGAGAUACGGCCCAGACUCCUACGGGAGGCAGCAGCUAAGAAUAUUCCGCAAUGGCCGAAAGGCUGACGGAGCGACGCCGCGUGGAUGACGAAGGCCGAAAGGUUGUAAAAUCCUUUUGUUGCUGAAGAAUAAGAGAGGGAGGGAAUGCCCUCUCGAUGACGUUAGGCAACGAAUAAGCCCCGGCUAAUUACGUGCCAGCAGCCGCGGUAACACGUAAGGGGCAAGCGUUGUUCGGAAUUAUUGGGCGUAAAGGGCACGUAGGCGGUAUAGUAAGCCUGGCGUGAAAUCCUCCGGCUUAACCGGGGAAUGGCGUUGGGAACUGCAAUACUGGAGUCAUGGAGGGGAAGUUGGAAUUCCUAGUGUAGGGGUGAAAUCUGUAGAUAUUAGGAAGAACACCGGUGGCGAAGGCGAACUUCUAGCCAAUGACUGACGCUGAGGUGCGAAAGUGCGGGGAGCAAACAGGAUUAGAUACCCUGGUAGUCCGCACUAUAAACGAUGUACACUAGGUGUUGGGCCGUGCGGUUCAGUGCCGAAGCAAACGUGAUAAGUGUACCGCCUGGGGAGUAUGCCCGCAAGGGU